rnacentral:rRNA from 1 species
GUAGUCCACGCCGUAAACGAUGUCAACUAGCCGUUGGGGGUCUUGUACCUUUAGUGGCGCAGCUAACGCAAUAAGUUGACCGCCUGGGGAGUACGGUCGCAAGAUUAAAACUCAAAUGAAUUGACGGGGGCCCGCACAAGCGGUGGAGCAUGUGGUUUAAUUCGACGCAACGCGAAGAACCUUACCAGGUCUUGACAUCCCGAGAAUUCGCUAGAGAUAGCUUAGUGCCUUCGGGAACUCGGUGACAGGUGCUGCAUGGCUGUCGUCAGCUCGUGUCCGUGAGAUGUUGGGUUAAGUCCCGCAACG